rnacentral:misc_RNA from 1 species
GCGGUCACAGUAGGCCUCCGAAGCAGCCGCAUCGAAGACGUGAACGCAUCUCUUCAAGGUCACACACAGUUUAUAUGAACAUGGCACCUCGUCGACACUUAGCGCAAGUUCAGGGCCUCGUCGGGGACGAGGUCACCGGCGGUGUCACCAGGUGUUGUGUGCCCACGGGAGAGUGUCUGCGCGCCCAGCAACAUAUGAACAACAAUGACCACAUGCUUAUUUCGUUGGACGAUCUCCGGGAUACCGUGCGAGUUACUUGCAAUAACGAAUUGUGCACAUCGGGAAGAUAUAUGCACCGUGAGUGCUUUGAUCAAUGGGAACAAUCCGUCUUAAGUUAUCUUAAAACUUGUGGCAGGGCUCGUUCUUGGUCCGAACGCCAAAGGCAUCAAAACCUCUGGACCAAGAAGGGCUACGAUUUAGCUUAUAAGGCUUGUGGGUGUAAGUGCGGUCGUGGACAUUUAAAAAAGGACUUGGAUUGGAUGCCUCCGCCUCCCACGAGUAAUAUCUUUGGAAGAAUCGAAGAAGUCGAUUCGGGAAAAAAGAAAAAACGUAAGAAUAAAAACAGUCGACCUACCCUUGCUAUAACUUCCAACCACCCCAUUGGCAGUGAAAUAAGAGCAAGAACUGGUAGUUUGUCUUGCUCUAGUACUGGCUCUUCUAGUCCCCCAACCUCGGGAAGUGAACCCAGUGUUUCGCCCAUUCAUGCCCACUCUAAGAAAAAGAGUAAAGUUGAUUUACAAGAUAGAAUUCGAGUCCAUUGUCCAACUUUAAACACAUAAAGUCUGAUCAUUCGGAUUCUGAGCUCCAUGAAAGUAUGUAAUCUGAGACCAUAAUAUGCAAUCUGGCGCGAGGAAGGUGCAACAGUCAGAAAAGUUUUUGACCGACGAGGGCCGAUUGGAAAAUGAGCAAGAGGAAGAGAAGGUGAGUCUAUUAACCAAAUUUUCUACAACU